AUUGAACGCUGGCGGCAUGCUUUACACAUGCAAGUCGAACGGUAACAGUCCUUCGGGUCCUUACGGGUGAAGCCCUGGUUUGUAAUGCAUCGGAACGUGGUCAGACGUGGGGGAUAACGCAGCUACAGCUGUGCUAAUACCGCAUGUGAUCUUAGGUUCAGAGCGGGGGACCACGCAGCAAUGUUUCGCCUCGCGCCUCUCCAGCGGCCGAUGUCAGAGUAGGUAGUUGGUGGGGUAAAGGCCUACCAAGCCGACGAUCUGUAGCUGGUCUGAGAGGACGAGAAGCCACACUGGGACGGAGACACGGCCCAGAAUCCUACGGGAGGCAGAAGUGGGGAAUUUUGGCCAAUGGGAGCAAGCGUGAACAAGGAAUGCCGCGUGAGGGAAGAAGGCAUUCGGGUCGUAAAACGGUUUUGGAAGGAACGAAAAGACUGUGGCUAAAACAUGGAGCUGAUGACGGUACCGGAAGAAUAAGCACCGGCUAACUACGUG
rnacentral:rRNA from 1 species